AGAAUCAACGCUGGCGGCGUGCCUAACACAUGCAAGUCGAACGAGAAAGUGGAGCAAUCCAUGAGUAAAGUGGCGACCGGGUGAGUAACACGUGACUAACCUACCUUCGAGUGGGGGAUAACCUCGGGAAAUCUGGGCUAAUACCGCAUAAUACCUUCGGGUCAAAGGAGCAAUUCGCUUAAGGAGGGGUCGCGGCCGAUUAGUUAGUUGACGGGGUAAUGGCCCACCAAGACUAUGAUCUGUA
rnacentral:rRNA from 1 species